rnacentral:rRNA from 1 species
AAAUUGAAGAGUUUGAUCAUGGCUCAGAUUGAACGCUGGCGGCAGGCCUAACACAUGCAAGUCGAACGGUAACAGGAAGCAGCUUGCUGCUUUGCUGACGAGUGGCGGACGGGUGAGUAAUGUCUGGGAAACUGCCUGAUGGAGGGGGAUAACUACUGGAAACGGUAGCUAAUACCGCAUAACGUCGCAAGACCAAAGAGGGGGACCUUCGGGCCUCUUGCCAUCGGAUGUGCCCAGAUGGGAUUAGCUAGUAGGUGGGGUAACGGCUCACCUAGGCGACGAUCCCUAGCUGGUCUGAGAGGAUGACCAGCCACACUGGAACUGAGACACGGUCCAGACUCCUACGGGAGGCAGCAGUGGGGAAUAUUGCACAAUGGGCGCAAGCCUGAUGCAGCCAUGCCGCGUGUAUGAAGAAGGCCUUCGGGUUGUAAAGUACUUUCAGCGGGGAGGAAGGGAGUAAAGUUAAUACCUUUGCUCAUUGACGUUACCCGCAGAAGAAGCACCGGCUAACUCCGUGCCAGCAGCCGCGGUAAUACGGAGGGUGCAAGCGUUAAUCGGAAUUACUGGGCGUAAAGCGCACGCAGGCGGUUUGUUAAGUCAGAUGUGAAAUCCCCGGGCUCAACCUGGGAACUGCAUCUGAUACUGGCAAGCUUGAGUCUCGUAGAGGGGGGUAGAAUUCCAGGUGUAGCGGUGAAAUGCGUAGAGAUCUGGAGGA